CAGCCGCCGCGGGAAUACGUAGGGUGCGAGCGUUAAUCGGAAUUACUGGGCGUAAAGCGUGCGCAGGCGGUUGUGCAAGACAGAUGUGAAAUCCCCGAGCUUAACUUGGGAACUGCAUUUGUGACUGCACGGCUAGAGUGUGUCAGAGGGGGGUAGAAUUCCACGUGUAGCAGUGAAAUGCGUAGAUAUGUGGAGGAAUACCGAUGGCGAAGGCAGCCCCCUGGGAUGACACUGACGCUCAUGCACGAAAGCGUGGGGAGCAAACAGGAUUAGAUACCCGCGUAGUCCCUGUCUCUUAUAC
rnacentral:rRNA from 1 species